CGCGAGGCGGCUCGGCGGCCAGGGCGCGCGCGCGGCGCAGCGGGCAACCAUCGCGGGGGAAAAGAAGCGGCGGCGAGCAAGCUAUGGCGCGCGGCAGCCAGCGUGCGGCGGCCCCGCGGCCAGCGCACGGAGUGCCGAUCAUAAGUAAGUUUUCAUCGGCUCGAGCAAGAAUUGCAGGGGAAUUUAAGGCUCUUGCUCGCGGGCUAAGUGACAAUGCAAAUCCAACUGGUUGGUACUACUGCCUGAUGUAGUAGCUUCAUGUGCUGCAUGAGAAGAAAAAGAAGAAGAGAAGAAUUCAGGGACAGGACAGAAGAAAAUUUUCCAUCUGCUGUCCAUUGGUGAUUACUGAUCAGUGAUCAGAAAUCUCAAGGAUCACUGCUGGGUGGACCUGAUGGAUGGAGACCAUCAAGCAGCCAGCCAGCCAACCAAUCAUCAAAGCACCACAGCGAAAUGUCUCUGCCUGCCUGCAUUACUGCUGCCUGUACAAGAAUUUCCUCUUCUUUCUCCUCAAGUUGUCAUUUUUUUGGGAAUACAAUAAUGCUUUAUCUUUUAUA